GCUCCGGUGGCCUAGUGGUUAGACCGUCCGCCUCGGAUGCGGGAGGUCGUGGGUUCAAACCACAGCGGUAUCA